GUGCUUGCUUUGGCAGCACAUAUACUAAAAUUGAAAUGAUACAGAGAAGACUAACAUGGCCCCUGCGCAAGGGUGACAUGCAAAUUUGUAAAGUGUUCCAUAUUAAA